CAGGCCCUCUAGCUUGCUGCCGUUAGUACCCUCCACUUGCCCGCCUCGCUUUCGCGGAGAAUCUAAAUAUAAUGGAUUGCUGGUGCAGAAUGCCAGGAUAUUUUAAUUUAUAGAAAAGAAUAAUGGGGUUCAGAGUUGAAAGUGGAAGGGAAAUUCAAUCAGCCUCUCCAAAACCAUGGAAAGUAUGUUUGUUCAUGGCUACCACCAGAUCAGCACUCUGAGCACUCCUGGAAGCUUGAAGAAUGAAGAUUAGGACAAAUGAUGUCAGAAAAGAAAAGAAAUGCUGAAUCUGGAUGUGCACGACACCCUUUAAGGCUAGAGGUUGUUGCUCCGGGACAAUUAUCCCGAACGGUACCAGAGGCAGGAAAUUAUGUAUUGCCCUAUAUAUGGCAUUCCCUCCCGGAGAGCACACCAUUUAUCAU